rnacentral:tRNA from 1 species
GGGGAUUUAGCUCAGCGGUAGAGCACUUGCCUAGCAAGCAAGAGGUCCUGGGUUCGGUCCCCAGCUCCA